rnacentral:tRNA from 1 species
GAGGGUAUAGCUCAGUGGUAGAGUGCAUGCCUAACAUGCAUGAGGUCCUGGGUUCAAUCCCCAGCACUGCCA